UACGAAGGGGGCUAGCGUUGUUCGGAUUUACUGGGCUUAAAGCGCACGUAGGCGGAUCGUUAAGUCGGGGGUGAAAUCCUGGAGCUCAACUCCAGAACUGCCUUCGAUACUGGCGAUCUUGAGUCCGGAAGAGGUGAGUGGAACUCCUAGUGUAGAGGUGGAAUUCUUAGAUAUUAGGAAGAACACCAGUGGCGAAGGCGGCUCACUGGUCCGGUACUGACGCUGAGGUGCGAAAGCGUGGGGAGCAAACAGG
rnacentral:rRNA from 1 species